rnacentral:rRNA from 1 species
GACGAACCGUGCGAACGUUGUUCGGAAUAACUGGGCUUAAAGGGUGCGUAGGCGGGUCCGCCAGUCUGUGGUGAAAUCCUCCGGCUCAACGGGAGAACUGCCGUGGAUACUGCGGACCUCGAGGAAGGUAGGGGGGUGCGGAACAGUUGGUGGAGCGGUGAAAUGCGUUGAUAUCAACUGGAACUCCGGUGGCGAAGGCGGCACGCUGGGUCUUUUCUGACGCUGAGGCACGAAAGCUAGGGGAGCAAACGGG